rnacentral:rRNA from 1 species
GACGAACCGUGCGAACGUUAUUCGGAAUCACUGGGCUUAAAGCGCGUGUAGGCGGGAGGGCACGUCCGUCGCUGAAAUCCCCCGGCUCAACCGGGGAACGGGCGCGGAUACGACCUUCCUUGAGGGGCGUAGGGGGACCUGGAACUUCCGGUGGAGCGGUGAAAUGCGUUGAGAUCGGAAGGAACGCCCGUGGCGAAAGCGAGGUCCUGGACGGCUACUGACGCUGAGACGCGAAAGCCAGGGGAGCGAACGGG